GCUGGGUGCAGUGGUGUACCUCUAGUCCUAGCUCCUCAAGAGGCUGAGGCAGGAGGACCACUUGAGCCCAUGAAUUCAAGACAGCCUGGGCAAAAUAGUGAGACCCUGCCUCAA
rnacentral:sRNA from 1 species